AGGACGAACGCUGGCGGCGUGCUUAACACAUGCAAGUCGAGCGGAAAGGCCCUUCGGGGUACUCGAGCCGGCGAACGGGUGAGUAACACGUGAGUAACCUGCCCCUAGCUCUGGGAGUAGCUCCGGGAAACCGGGAUUAACACCAGAUACGACCACUUUAGACAUCUGUCGGUGGUGGAAAGGAUUCCGGCUAGGGAUGGGCUCGCGGCCUAUCAGCUUGUUGGUGGGUAACGGCCUACCAGGCGACGACGGGUA
rnacentral:rRNA from 1 species